rnacentral:rRNA from 1 species
GAGUUUGAUCAUGGUUCAGAUUGAACGCUGGCGGCAGGCCUAACACAUGCAAGUCGAGCGGCAGCGGGAAAGUAGCUUGCUACUUUUGCCGGCGAGCGGCGGACGGGUGAGUAAUGCCUGGGAAAUUGCCCAGUCGAGGGGGAUAACAGUUGGAAACGACUGCUAAUACCGCAUACGCCCUACGGGGGAAAGCAGGGGACCUUCGGGCCUUGCGCGAUUGGAUAUGCCCAGGUGGGAUUAGCUAGUUGGUGAGGUAAUGGCUCACCAAGGCGACGAUCCCUAGCUGGUCUGAGAGGAUGAUCAGCCACACUGGAACUGAGACACGGUCCAGACUCCUACGGGAGGCAGCAGUGGGGGAUAUUGCACAAUGGGGGAAACCCUGAUGCAGCCAUGCCGCCUGUGUGAAGAAGGCCUUCGGGUUGUAAAGCACUUUCAGCGGGGAGGAAA